rnacentral:rRNA from 1 species
AUGAAGAGUUUGAUCCUGGCUCAGGAUGAACGCUAGCGGCAGGCCUAACACAUGCAAGUCGAGGGGUAACAGGGAGCUUGCUCUGAUGACGACCGGCGCACGGGUGCGCACCGCGUAAGGAACCUACCCAGUACAGGGGAAUAGCCCAGGGAAACUUGGAUUAAUGCCCCGUAGUACCAUUAUAUGGCAUCAUCAUUAUGUUAAACAGUCUUCGGCGGUAUUGGAUGGCCAUGCGUCCCAUUAGCUUGAUGGUAAGGUAACGGCUUACCAUGGCUACGAUGGGUAGGGGCCCUGAGAGGGGGAUCCCCCACACUGGUACUGAGACACGGACCAGACUCCUACGGGAGGCAGCAGUGAGGAAUAUUGGACAAUGGAGGUAACUCUGAUCCAGCCAUGCCGCGUGCAGGAAGACGGCCCUAUGGGUUGUAAACUGCUUUUAUACAGGAAGAAAAAGGGGUACGUGUACCCUACUGACGGUACUGUAAGAAUAAGGACCGGCUAACUCCGUGCCAGCAGCCGCGGUAAUACGGAGGGUCCGAGCGUUAUCCGGAAUUAUUGGGUUUAAAGGGUCCGUAGGCGGAUAAUUAAGUCAGAGGUGAAAUCCUGCAGCUCAACUGUAGAAUUGCCUUUGAUACUGGUUAUCUUGAGUUAUGGUGAAGUUGCUGGAAUAUGUAGUGUAGCGGUGAAAUGCAUAGAUAUUACAUAGAACACCGAUUGCGAAGGCAGGUGACUAACCAUAUACUGACGCUGAUGGACGAAAGCGUGGGGAGCGAACAGGAUUAGAUACCCUGGUAGUCCACGCCGUAAACGAUGGAUACUAGCUGUCCGGGACAGUAAGUUCUGGGCGGCCAAGCGAAAGUGAUAAGUAUCCCACCUGGGGAGUACGUUCGCAAGAAUGAAACUCAAAGGAAUUGACGGGGGCCCGCACAAGCGGUGGAGCAUGUGGUUUAAUUCGAUGAUACGCGAGGAACCUUACCAGGGCUUAAAUGCAUUUUGACAGGGGUAGAGAUAGAUACCUUUUCCUUCGGGCAAUUUGCAAGGUGCUGCAUGGUUGUCGUCAGCUCGUGCCGUGAGGUGUCAGGUUAAGUCCUAUAACGAGCGCAACCCCUACCGUUAGUUGCCAGCGAGUCAUGUCGGGGACUCUAACGGGACUGCCGGUGCAAACCGUGAGGAAGGUGGGGAUGACGUCAAAUCAUCACGGCCCUUACGUCCUGGGCCACACACGUGCUACAAUGGCCGGUUCAGAGAGCAGCCAUCUGGCAACAGAGAGCGAAUCUACAAAACCGGUCACAGUUCGGAUCGGGGUCUGCAACUCGACCCCGUGAAGCUGGAAUCGCUAGUAAUCGGAUAUCAGCCAUGAUCCGGUGAAUACGUUCCCGGGGCUUGUACACACCGCCCCUCAAGCCAUGGAAGCCGGGAGUGCCUGAAGUCCGUCACCGUAAGGAGCGGCCUAGGGCAAGAUCGGUAACUAGGGCUAAGUCGUAACAAGGUA